UCGGGAACUCGACUAAAGUCCUUAAAGAUAAACACAGCAGAAAAUAAAAACAAACGAGUCAACGGGUACCCAUGAAAAACAAAACGAGUGAAAACAUCAACAUCUUGCGCCUUGCAAACAACAACUGAAAUCUACGCCUGGCCUCGUCCUCCGCACCCCGCAAACGCCCAAUCCCCUAAGGUUACCUGCAUAGUAGAAGAGGGAAUGAGUAAUCGAAAUCACUCAGUGAGUUCCCAAAACAAAACAACAACUACCCCCUUCAGCCCAUGCUCAAACAACAAGAGCAACACAACAAAGCAAUGCAAUAACAACAACAGAAAUUAAAUAUGCAAUGCGAUAAUUUAAACAUGAGUGCAAUGCAAAAACUUAAACAUGAAAGCAAUGCAACUACUCUACACCCAAGUCUCCCCACCGAGACUUAACUACAAAACUAAGACUCGAUCUAGACUCAAUCCUAGACUCAAACACUACAAAACAAAACACUCAAAGGAUGGUGCCACACGCAACACAUCCCGGGAUCCCUCACAACACAGAGCCCUAACUCUCCCAACUGAACACUCCCGACCACAAACACAUAAGUCACAUGAUCGGAAAACAUCAUCUCCGAGAAUUGGGCAUCUCCCAAUCUAACUCGGGCCGCAUCGUCAUGCAGCGCUUGUCCAUGGGCGCGACCCACUUCACGUGACAAGCCAUGGAGAGAAGGUCACUCCACCACUGGAGAAUUGGGUAUCUCCCAAUCUAACUCCGAGACAGCCAUGCACUUUAGUCUAGAUGCAACACAACACAUCAAAACAAUAAUCAAGCGUGAGGGAGCUCCACCUCUAACCUCCACGCACAACUAGACUAAAUGCACAACACAUCCCACACUCGCCAUAGCCUAGACAAAACACAAACACACUAGCAUGAGGGGGCAAAGCCACAAACCUCAAUACAACCCUAAGCCUAGACUCAACCUAAAACAACUAAAGCGAGCGACACACUACAACUACCCGGCAAAAGAGAGAGUCUCACUCAAAUCUCUUUGCAAUCCCAAACUACACUACAAUUCAUGAGCAUAUGAACUACAUGAGAGAGUUACACUCAAAUCUUCAUGCUUCACAACAACAACUCAUAAGCUACAACUAAUCAAACGAAUGCUUGCAUGCAACUAACGACCUAACAACACAAUGCAUGUCUAACAUAUCAUCACCCCUAGAUGAAUAUGUUCACCACCACAAUACAUGCAAUGCACAAAUACAACUAAUGCAUGCAAGAAAGUAAACACUCAAGUAUGGGGACUACCAAUCUCCCACACACACACACAAACAAUCAUAGCCACAAAUGUGGUUCAAUCACAAGAACUAAAACGUUUCUUGCUCCUCCACCUGCACACACACACGGUUAGGACACACAACACAACCAGGGAAACCCACCUAAAACUUUACAAACCGCACAACAGCUCCAAAAGCAAAAGACCUAAGGUUAACACUAAAACCGAUCAAAGAGAGGCUAAAGGCUAAGAGGGAAAAGGGAACCUACAAACGAUCAACUAAGGUCUUACCACCACUCCUAGCACUCCACAACUGAUCCUAGAGCAAUGAUCAAGCCACGCAAAAGCCUUCCACACUCACCUCACAUACUCAAAAAAUUUAUCGGUUUUAAGCCAUUUUCUCUCUCUAGAACAAACCAUAAGAUCGACUGAGAGAGAAAGCUCAGGGGUUUCUAAACUUCAAAACCACAUCCUAAGGGUUCUAUUUAUAGCCAAAGGGAGGGAUGGGAGCACUUGACACAUGUUCACACACUUGUCACCAAUUUAAACC
rnacentral:lncRNA from 1 species